GGUUCCAAUUCCAGCAAACUCACAGAAGCUCCCUUUCCGCCCUUGCCAAAGAGAAUACCACUGACUUACGAAGGAGGGGAGCGCAUCCGAGUCUUGUCCCUCCUCCCACCCCUAUUCUGCCAAGUGCAAUAACAAUGCAGUCAUCAUCGAGAGCGUGGAAAGCAGGCGAGUUGAGAGGCAGCCUCGAUGCUGCUGAAUCUCAGGCCGCCCUUCUGCUCGCUCCGGGGGCAGCUCGGUCUCUCCCGGCCCCGCGUUGCGAUAGAAGCAUGCUCCUCUUCUAGCUUGCUCUUCUGGCUGGGGAGGCUGCCUGGCUCUCACAGAGCCGGCGGCGGCGGCGACGGCCGCUGCUGCUGCUGCUGCUGCCGCCUUACUGGGAGAAAGAUUGUGCCGCUGCGACAGGAGAAGACGAAGCUAGGAACUCGAGGAGGCUGACUGAGCAUGCGCCGGCGGAGCCACUGACUACAGAGCCUCAGUCAAGAUAUUUGUGAUGGCAUGACAAAUCAGCAGGAAGACACGAGGAGGUACUAUGUAACUAGGUACCAGAUCAAUUCUGCUUAUGGAAUACAUUUUCAGAAAGAUGUAUGGAUCUAUUUUUCCCUUGUUCAUAUAUAUAGAUCAUGAGACUUGACUGAGGCAAUAUUCAUAGCAUCCAUCUAUCUAUGGCGAACUACAGCCAUGCAGCUGACAACAUUUUACAAAAUCUAUCCCCUUUAACAGCAUUUUUGAAACUGACUUCUUUGGGCUUCAUCAUAGGAGUCAGUGUGGUGGGUAACCUCCUGAUCUCCAUUUUGCUAGUCAAAGAUAAGACCUUGCAUAGAGCGCCCUACUACUUCCUGUUGGAUCUUUGCUGCUCAGACAUCCUCCGAUCUGCCAUUUGUUUCCCAUUUGUUUUCACAUCAGUGAAAAACGGCUCUUCUUGGACAUAUGGAACUCUCACUUGUAAAGUGAUUGCCUUCUUGGGGGUCCUAUCCUGUUUCCACACUGCUUUCAUGCUGUUCUGCAUAAGUGUCACCAGAUACUUAGCGAUUGCCCACCAUCGCUUUUAUACAAAAAGGCUGACCUUUUGGACUUGCUUGGCGGUUAUUUGUAUGGUGUGGACCCUAUCCGUAGCGAUGGCUUUCCCUCCCGUUUUGGAUGUGGGUACCUACUCGUUCAUUCGGGAGGAAGACCAAUGCACUUUUCAGCAUCGUUCCUUCAGAGCCAAUGAUUCUCUGGGAUUUAUGCUGCUACUUGCUCUUAUCCUUCUAGCCACACAGCUUGUCUACCUCAAGCUGAUCUUUUUUGUUCACGAUCGCCGGAAAAUGAAGCCAGUUCAGUUUGUGGCAGCGGUAAGCCAGAACUGGACGUUUCAUGGUCCUGGAGCCAGUGGUCAAGCAGCCGCUAACUGGCUGGCUGGAUUUGGAAGGGGUCCCACGCCACCUACCUUGCUGGGGAUCAGGCAAAAUGCAAACACCACGGGCAGGAGAAGGCUACUUGUCUUGGAUGAGUUCAAAAUGGAAAAGCGCAUUAGUAGAAUGUUCUAUAUCAUGACAUUCCUCUUUCUAACCUUGUGGGGUCCCUAUUUGGUAGCCUGUUACUGGAGAGUUUUUGCAAGAGGGCCUGUGGUUCCAGGGGGAUUUCUAACGGCUGCUGUUUGGAUGAGUUUUGCCCAAGCUGGAAUCAAUCCUUUUGUCUGCAUUUUCUCCAACAGGGAGCUGAGGCGCUGUUUCAGCACAACCCUUCUUUACUGCAGAAAAUCCAGGUUACCAAGGGAACCUUACUGUGUUAUAUGAGGGAGCAUCUGUAAAUCUUUAGCCUUGUGAAAACACUACCCUUCUCUGCUAAGCAAUGGUGGCCUGUUGCCAUAUCUUGAGAAGAAGAAAAAAAUCAAGAAUGGGAUGUCAGCAGUUGUAAGGAUUUGGGCAACAGUGUUCUGCAGUCUUUGCAAUAGCUCGUCUCUUAAUCCUAUUUUAAAACCUAAACUUGUUCCUGCUGACCACUUGUGAAGGUUUGUGAUUAAAAGUAUACAGGACUGAACCACUGCCCUAAAAAUGCUUUUUGAUGUGGUUGAAACCUAGAGAAUGAUUCAAAGAGUAGCAGGUGCUAAAUAUAUCAGCACUUAAUGCUGUAUAUAUCACUAUAUAAAAAUAAGACCAUCAUGAAAAGAUUAGCAGUGGACAUCAGAAUCAGUUAAGUUUGACAUGAGGUUAAUGUGCUGAUGAAACUAAUUUUAGACACUGGAUGACCUUUUAAUCAUUUCAUACCAUUAUUGUUUUACAAAGACUAACAUUUAGGGACUGUAUUCAGGUCCUGUAACUGAUGGGAGAUGUGCCAUGUGAGACUGGAUUAUCACCACUCUGUUUGCCUUGUGAGUUCUGGGGAACAUUCCAAAGCAGUGUUUUCUUCUUCUUUGUUGUUCCAAUAAGACCUUAUUUUUCUCUGAGUCCGUUUUCCCCUUUUUAUUAUUAAAUAACAUUUUUAUUUCAGAAUGAAGACAAAAAAAAUUACUGGCAUUUGUGUUCUGUGCUUUUUUUAAAAAAAAAUUGUUCUUUCGAUUUGCUAGAAUAUUUAUUGGCUACAUUUAUAUUUUCAAAAGCUAGAUACCAGUCUGUUAGGCAACAUCAAUGAGAUUAUCCAAUCAUAACAACAGAGUAGUCAGUAUACAGAAUAAACCACAUGUUGCCUUAAAGGGUUAUCUAGUAUCUUCCAUUUUGUUUAGCAUUUUAGCAAAUAAGCAAAAGAAAACGGAAUCUGUCAAUUCCAGUCUGUCAUUUGGGAAUGCAUGAGAUCACUUGACCCACCCACCCUCUUUCAUUUUUAUUCCCAUGAUUCUCCAAAUCAGUAUGCGCAUCACUAGGAUGAUCUGAUUUUUUCUCUCUCUAGGUGUGCUGCCCAUUCUAGUUUGUUCUGAUAAACACAGGCAGUCAAUGUAUGUUUAUAUUUUAAGACAGCAGUCAUGGGGAGAGACUGCAGCCUUAGUAAGAUAUCUUGCACAAUUUGUGAAGCAUUUAUUCUACUGAAGGCACAGUCUUGUUUAUACUUUCUGCACAUUUUUGGUGUAUUGGUUGUUUCCAAUUAUUUCAUUUUUAACUUGUGAAAGCAUAUAAUAUGAUUUCUAGUAUUUUAGAAAUACAUUAGAGUCUGUGAGUCUUUCCUUCUUUAAGAUACAGAUGUGUGGAUUUCAAUAUAAAGUUGCAUUUGCCAAAAUUUACCUGUGUAGCCUGUUAAUUUUCUUGGAAUAAAAUUUUACAUUUUUCCAGUUAUACAACAAAACCCUUUAUUAUGAUUAUUAUUACUAUUAUUUUGUUUAGUGAGCAUGAAUUACUGAGAAUGUAGCCAUUAUGGAUUAUUAUUCUUUGAAGUCACUGUAUUCCCAAACUGUAAAUGCAUGAAUAAUGGGGACCACGGGAUUGAUAAAUGAUAUUCUCGACAA